rnacentral:rRNA from 1 species
GACGAACGCUGGCGGCGUGCUUAAUACAUGCAAGUAGAACGCACAGUUUAUACCGUAGCUUGCUGCACCAUAGACUGUGAGUUGCGAACGGGUGAGUAAACCGUAGGUAACCUGCCUGGUAGCUGGGGAUAACUAUUGGAAACGCUAGCUAAUACCGCAUAAUAUUAAUUAUUGCAUGAUAAUUAUUUGAAAGGUGCAAUUGCACCACUACCUGAUGGACCUGCGUUGUAUUAGCUAGUAGGUGAGGUAACGGCUCAUCUAGGCGACGAUACAUAGCCGACCUGAUAGGGUGAGCGGCCACACUGGGACGGAGACACGGCCCAGACUCCUACGGGAGGCAGCAGUAGGGAAUCGUCGGCAAUAGACGAGAGACUGACCGAGCAGCGCCGCGUGAGUGAAGAAGGAUGUCGGAUCGUAAAGCUCGGUUGUAAGAGAAGAACGGGUGUGAGAGUGGAAAGUUCACACUGUGACGGUAACUGACCAGAAAGGGACGGCUAACUACGUG